CUGCCAGUUUUAACUCCUGCCAGAAUCCUAAUGCAACCUGUCUCACAGGACAGCGCAGGCCCCGCCCGAAGAGCAAGAAAGAAUCAGCUGCUUCCUGCCCCACCUAAAAGGCUUGGGGACCAGUGCCCUUUUGUUCCGGCCACAACCAAAUCUGAUAUCAGGAAAUGAUCUUAUGUCAGAGACUUACACUUCAGUGGGAAUUUCUAUCAGCAGAGUGUCUGCAUCUUUAAACCUAUGCAGAAGGCAACAAGGAGCCACUGAAGGACUUUUGGAGCAACAGCCCACAGAGGGUGACAGCAGGGAGGAGAAGUCUGGAGUUUGCAGAGCAACAGGGAAGCCAUCGCUGGAGUCUACUCGAGGGCCUGAACUAGCACAGCUGCAGGGGCAGCAAAGAGGAGGAGACAGGCGUGAGAGCCGAUUCUGAACCAGCUCUUGGCAGCUGAUUGGGUUGGCAGGAAGGAAAGCCAGGAGCACUCGAUUUUGAGGCAUCGAGCAUUGGGCCUGGUACAGGCGGUUGCUUAGGAGGACUUAGUUUCUCUUGGGGUGGGGGUGGGGGGUGGGAGAGAGAAGAAGAAGGAGAUGAGUUCAGAUCAGUUUAAGCCCACAGGGCUGGGGAGAGAGCUAAUGAAAAACUCUCCAAGCAAGAACCACGGCCUGGUUCAGGGGUGCAUUCAGAUCCCAGGCUCCGCUAUUUUCCCAGAGUAGCAGCCCCCAAGUUAGCCUCUAUGGUCCCCACCUGAAGAGAGUAGAGCCAAGACCACGGAGACUUCCACCUGCUUUACCCGAAGGAGGGGGAGAGUAGCUGCAGUGAGGUCCCAGCUCCACCACAGAGCACUGUGCCUGCCGCCACUGCUCCCGUGGGUUUGGGGGGACGUGACCAGGCACAGAGACCAGGGACGCAGCUGGAGUAACCAGGAGAGGCUGGCGGAGAGACAGGGACUGGGAACCACCUCCUGAAAGGUGAUGGUUGAAGUGAGAAUGGAAGAGACCGAGAGGUGACCGCGCGGAGGGCACUGGAGGGGAGGGUAUCUCGGGGAACUCAGCUGGAGGGGCCAGAAAGGAGAAUUUUAGGGGGUUCAUUACCUUUUGAGAAGAGGGAGGGACAGAGCUCAAAGCAGAUCCCACAAGCAAAUUGGGGGAUUUUGCUCCAAGGGUGCAGAGAUAUCCCGGAGAAGAAGGCGGAGAAGGCUGGUUUGGGGUUCUGAGGUCACUUUAAGAGAUGUUUUCACAGAGUGGUCAGGACGUGGAAGACAAAGAUGCAGGAGUGCGCGUGUGAGGGAGGAGCAGGCUCCUCAGGGGCAGACGAGUCAGUGAAGAGCUCGCAGCCACAUGUGGCAGAACCACAGGCCCUGUUGUGAGAAGCGAGUCACGUC